UGUUCUCCUUCCUGUGCCGAGUGUGGUUUGCUAUCAAGCGGUGGCAGUUCAGCCACAAUCAGGGGCAGGGGGAGGGAGAGGCCCCCCGAAGAGGCAGAGGCCCUGCCUCGGCCGCCCUGAGCCUGGAAGGUGAUUGGCUAGAGCGACUCCCGGCCGGGAGCGGAAUGAAUGGCGGGGACCGGGGCCUCUGGGUGGUGCGAGCAUCAUGUUGCCUUUUAAUAUGGAGCAUGUGCCAUAGCUCUCCAGGAGAACCCCUCUGUGUCACAGCGAACCUCAGUCACUGACACUCAAAAGAAGGAAUUAUUUCAACUCAAUAAUAAACAAAUAACCCUAUUUUAAAAUCAGCAA
rnacentral:lncRNA from 10 species